rnacentral:miRNA from 1 species
UAUAGCCGGGUACUUUACCAGCAC